UGCCAGCCGCCGCGGUAAUACGGAGGGGGUUAGCGUUGUUCGGAAUUACUGGGCGUAAAGCGCGCGUAGGUUGAUUGGUCAGUCAGAUGUGAAAGCCCCGGGCUCAACCUGGGAACUGCACCUGAUACUGCCAGUCUAGAAUACGGUAGAGGGUAGUGGAAUUUCCUGUGUAGCGGUGAAAUGCGUAGAUAUAGGAAGGAACACCAGUGGCGAAGGCGACUACCUGGACCGAUAUUGACACUGAGGCGCGAAGGCGUGGGUAGCGAACGGGAUUAGAUA
rnacentral:rRNA from 1 species